rnacentral:rRNA from 1 species
GAUGAACGCUGGCGGCGUGCCUAAUACAUGCAAGUCGAGCGAAUGGAUUAAGAGCUUGCUCUUAUGAAGUUAGCGGCGGACGGGUGAGUAACACGUGGGUAACCUGCCCAUAAGACUGGGAUACCUCCGGGAAACCGGGGCUAAUACCGGAUAACAUUUUGAACGGCAUGGUUCGAAAUUGAAAGGCGGCUUCGGCUGUAACUUAUGGAUGGACCCGCGACGCAUUAGCUAGUUGGUGAGGUAAGGGCUCACCAAGGCAACGAUGCGGAGCCGACCUGAGAGGGUGAUCGGCCACACUGGGACUGAGACACGGCCCAGACUCCUACGGGAGGCAGCAGGAGGGAAUCUUCCGCAAUGGACGAAAGUCUGACGGAGCACGCCGCGUGAGUGAUGAAGGCUUUCGGGUCGUGAAACUCUGUUGUUAGGGAAGAACAAGUGCUAGUUGAAUAAGCUGGCACCUUGACGGUACCUAACCAGAAAGCCACGGCUAACUACGUGCCAGCAGCCGCCGUAA